UCGCCGUAGGAUGGGACUGCGGCCUAUCAGUUUGUCGGUGAGGUAAUGGCCCACCAAGACUAUUACAGGUACGGGCUCUGAGAGGAGUAGCCCGGAGAUGGGUACUGAGACACGGACCCAGGCCCUAUGGGGCGCAGCAGGCGAGAAAACUUUGCAAUGUGCGAAAGCACGACAAGGUUAAUCCGAGUGGUUUCUGCUAAAGAAACCUUUUGUCAGUCCUAGAAACACUGAUGAAUAAGGGGUGGGCAAGUUCUGGUGUCAGCCGCCGCGGUAAAACCAGCACCUCAAGUGGUCAGGAUGAUUAUUGGGCCUAAAGCAUCCGUAGCCGGCUCUGUAAGUUUUCGGUUAAAUCUGUACGCUCAACGUACAGGCUGCCGGGAAUACUGCAGAGCUAGGGAGUGGGAGAGGUAGACGGUACUCGGUAGGAAGGGGUAAAAUCCUUUGAUCUAUUGAUGACCACCUGUGGCGAAGGCGGUCUACCAGAACACGUCCGACGGUGAGGGAUGAAAGCUGGGGGAGCAAACCGGAUUAGAUACCCGGGUAGUCCCAGCUGUAAACUAUGCAAACUCAGUGAUGUAUUGGCUUGUGGCCAAUGCAGUGCUGCAGGGAAGCCGUUAAGUUUGCCGCCUGGGAAGUACGUACGCAAGUAUGAAACUUAAAGGAAUUGGCGGGGGAGCACCACAAGGGGUGAAGCCUGCGGUUCAAUUGGAGUCAACGCCGGG
rnacentral:rRNA from 2 species